UCUUUUCCAGACAACCUCACUAAGCUAAGAGAAAAAACCUCGCAGCCCUCUUCAUCGCUGAGAACAACCAGUCCUCUCUCGCGGCCCUCUGGCACAACCCUCGCGGCCCGCUCUCGCAACCAUCCAUCGACGCUGCCUCUGUCGGCGCUCCUCCAUUGGUGCGCCCUCCGUCGGUGCCACUCUCGCUCGCAAGGCCUCCCUCGGCGGUCUCUCUCUCUCGCUCCUCCCUCAAUCGUUGCUCCACCCUCAAACGACGCUCAACCCUCACCAUAACACAAGAAGGCAAACAGGUCUAGGAUGGGGCUAUGUCAACCCAAUGUGGAUACAGAUUCAAGUCCUGAGAAUGUAAAGAUGCUGAUUGGGUUGGCGAAUGAGAUGUUGAAGCAGGAGAAUGUAGAGUCAGUGCUGUUUGGAGGGAAGCGGAUCGGCGAGCAAAGUAAUUUCGAGAAACUCGACUGGUUCGUUGGAGAACUCGUCCAAGAUAAUCAGAGGAGGAGCUGUAGAAUAGCUCCCACUGUUGCUUUCAAGCAAGCUAGCCCAAAAGCGACCUCAUUCAUGGACCAACACUUACAAGAAUCAACAUAAAGAAAAACUAAUGAAAGAGAAAAAAAAAAAGUGGCUAAUGACUUUGGUCAACUGGGUGAUGGAACUGAGGAGCGAAGGAAAUAUCCAAAGAAAGUGAAGAAAUUAGAGUCAGAGUUCAUGAAAUUUGUGUCCUGCGAAGCACAUUGUUCUGCUUGCAUUGUAGAGCCUCGUGAAAAUGAUGGUACCAUUUCAACUGGGAGGCUCUGGAUUUGGGGACAAAAUCAGAUUAUUCGUGAAGUGUCUUGUGGAGCUGUUCAUGUGGUUGCUUUAUUCGAGGAAGGCCUACUAUAAGUUUGGGUGAUUCAAUAUCACAUUUCUUAAUUUUCUUCUUAAAAUUUCAUUUUUGUUUAUGUUUGUAAAUUUCAUGUAGGUGGUCGUUGCAUGUAUAGAGAUGACAUGGUUGUAAGCUUUUACCAAGAAUGU